rnacentral:rRNA from 1 species
AGGGAAUCUUCCACAAUGGACGAAAGUCUGAUGGAGCAACGCCGCGUGAGUGAUGAAGGUUUUCGGAUCGUAAAACUCUGUUGUAAGGGAAGAACCAGUACGUCAGGCAAUGGACGUACCUUGACGGUACCUUAUUAGAAAGCCACGGCUAACUACGUGCCAGCAGCCGCGGUAAUACGUAGGUGGCAAGCGUUGUCCGGAAUUAUUGGGCGUAAAGGGUGUGCAGGCGGAUAUUUAAGUGAGAUGUGAAAGACCCGGGCUUAACCCGGGCAGUGCAUUUCAAACUGGAUAUCUAGAGUGCAGGAGAGGAGAACGGAAUUCCUAGUGUAGCGGUGAAAUGCGUAGAGAUUAGGAAGAACACCAGUGGCGAAGGCGGUUCUCUGGACUGUAACUGACGCUGAGGCACGAAAGCGUGGGUAGCAAACA